ACUCUCGUGUCAGAGUUUGAUCCUGGCUCAGGGUGAACGCUGGCGGCGUGCAUAACACAUUCAAGUCGAACGGAGUUAUGUGGCUUGAUCCCUUCGGGGUGACGGCUAUAUAACUUAGUGGCGGACGGGUGAGUAACGCGUGAGCAACCUGCCCUUAUGUGGGGAACAAUAGUUGGAAACGACUGCUAAUACCGCAUAACCCAAUAGUACUGCAUGGUACAGUUGGCAAAGAUUUAUCGCAUAAGGAUGGGCUCGCGUCUGAUUAGGUAGUUGGUGAGGUAACGGCUCACCAAGCCGACGAUCAGUAGCCGGACUGAGAGGUUGAACGGCCACAUUGGAACUGAGAAACGGUCCAG
rnacentral:rRNA from 1 species